rnacentral:rRNA from 1 species
CUCUGUGACUUCUACGGGAGGCAGCAGUGGGGAAUAUUGGACAAUGGACCAAAAGUCUGAUCCAGCAAUUCUGUGUGUUUGAUGAAGGCCUUCGGGUUGUAAAGAACUUUCAGUGGGGAAGAAGCAAGUGACGGUACCCACAGAAGAAGCGACGGCUAAAUACGUGCCAGCAGCCGCGGUAAUACGUAUGUCGCAAGCGUUAUCCGGAAUUAUUGGGCAUAAAGGGCGUCUAGGCGGUCUAAUAAGUCUGAUGUGAAAAUGCGGGGCUCAACUCCGUAUUGCGUUGGAAACUGUUAGACUAGAGUUUUGGAGAGGUAGGCGGAACUACAAGUGUAGAGGUGAAAUUCGUAGAGAUUUGUAGGAAUGCCGAUGACGAAGGUAGCUUACUGGACAAAUACUGACGCUGAAGCGCGAAAGCUAGGGGAGCAAACAGGAUUAGAUACCCUGGUAG